GUACAAGGCAAGGACAGAUCCAUGCGACAUGAAGGAGGUGGUCAGUCUGGUUUCAUAUUUGAGGCGAAGUGGCUACAUGAAGAAGGGUGUGAGGAGGUCAUAAGCGAUGCAUGGUAUACUACAGUGUUGAGGGGCGAAAAUAGCCUAGCACAAAAACUUAGGAGAGUUACAGGAGACCUAAAGAGCUGGGAUACUAACGUCCUAGGUGACUUGGAAAAGAGGAUAAAGGCGACUAAAGUCGAGUUGGAGCAGGUGAGAAGGGCGUCAUUUAACCAGAUCACAAUAGACCGAGAACACGUCCUGCGGGAAAAACUAGAGAGAUUAGAACAACAACAAGACAUGUUUUGGAGGCAGAGAGCACAUGUUAAAUGGCUCCAAGAAGGUGACAAAAACACUGCUUUCUUUCAUGCUUGUGCCUCGGAGAGGAAAAGUAAAAAUACAAUUAGGAGGUUAAGGAGAGAAGAUGGAGUGUGGGUAGAGGGUGCAUAG
rnacentral:rRNA from 1 species